UGGUAAGUAGCUCAGAGGCAGAGCAGAUGACUGUUAAUCAUCAGGUCCUUGGUUCGAUCCCAAGCUUACCAG
rnacentral:tRNA from 1 species